rnacentral:rRNA from 1 species
AAAGUUAAGUAGUUUAAGUUGUGUGCAAGUGGUAGGAGAGCGUUCUAUUUGCGUCGAAGGUAUACCGGUAAGGAGUGCUGGAGCGAAUAGAAGUGAGCAUGCAGGCAUGAGUAGCGAUAAUUAAUGUGAGAAUCAUUAACGCCGUAAACCCAAGGUUUCCUACGCGAUGCUCGUCAUCGUAGGGUUAGUCGGGUCCUAAGUCGAGUCCGAAAGGGGUAGACGAUGGCAAAUUGGUUAAUAUUCCAAUACCAACAUUAGUGUGCGAUGGAAGGACGCUUAGGGCUAAGGGGGCUAGCGGAUGGAAGUGCUAGUCUAAGGUCGUAGGAGGUUAUACAGGCAAAUCCGUAUAACAAUACUCCGAGAACUGAAAGGCUUUUUGAAGUCUUCGGAUGGAUAGAAGAACCCCUGAUGCCGUCGAGCCAAGAAAAGUUUCUAAGUUUAGCUAAUGUUGCCCGUACCGUAAACCGACACAGGUGGGUGGGAUGAGUAUUCUAAGGCGCGUGGAAGAACUCUCUUUAAGGAACUCUGCAAAAUAGCACCGUAUCUUC